rnacentral:rRNA from 1 species
UACAGAGGGGGCAAGCGUUGCUCGGAAUUACUGGGCGUAAAGGGCGCGUAGGCGGGCUGGCAAGUCGGUCGUGAAAUCCCUCGGCUCAACUGAGGAGCGUCGAUCGAAACUGCCGUUCUUGAGGGUUGCAGAGGAGACUGGAAUUCCCGGUGUAGCGGUGAAAUGUGUAGAGAUCGGGAGGAACACCGGUGGCGAAGGCGGGUCUCUGGGCAACUCCUGACGCUGAGGCGCGAAAGCGUGGGGAGCAAACGGG